AGUGAACGCUGGCGGUAGGCCUAACACAUGCAAGUCGAACGGCCGGACGGUAAGAGUGCGCUUUUAACGGUGGCGAGUGGCGGACGGGUGACGCAUGCAUAACCAUCUACUUUUACUUGGAGGACUACGUAGGGCAGCAUACGCUACUACAGCAUACGUCCUACGGCUGAAAGCAAGGGUUAUAGGCACUUUGCGCGAUUCAUAGAGCCGGAGCCGCGUUAGCUAGUUGGGGAGGUAAAGGCCCACCAAGGCGACGAUACGUAGCUGAUCUGAGAGGAUGAUCAGCCACACUGGAACUGAGACACGGUCCAGACUCCUACGGGAGGCAGCAGUAGGGAAUAUUGAGCAAUGGGCGCAAGCCUGACCCAGCCAUGCCGCGUGGGUGAAGAAGGCCUUCGGAUCGUAAAACCCUGUUGUUAGGAAAGAAAAACAGCAUAAGAAUACCCCCCCGUGCUGACGGUACCCAAACAAAAAGCACCGGCUAACUUCGUG
rnacentral:rRNA from 1 species